AGCGAAAGCGAGUCUGAAUAGGGCGCUUUAGUACGUAGUCGUUGACCCGAAACCAGGUGAUCUACCCAUGUCCAGGAUGAAGUUCCGGUAACACGGAAUGGAGGUCCGAACCCACUAGUGUUGAAAAACUAGGGGAUGAGGUGUGGGUAGCGGAGAAAUUCCAAUCGAACCUGGAGAUAGCUGGUUCUCCCCGAAAUAGCUUUAGGGCUAGCCUUGGGAGCCUAAGUCAUGGAGGUAGAGCACUGAUUGGGCUAGGGGUCCUUCCCGGAUUACCGAACUCAGUCAAACUCCGAAUGCCAUGUACUUGUACCCCAGGAGUCAGACUGCGAGUGCUAAGAUCCGUAGUCAAGAGGGAAACAGCCCAGACCACCAGCUAAGGUCCCUAAAUGAUCGUUCAGUGGAAAAGGAUGUGGAGUUGCCUAGACAACCAGGAUGUUGGCUUAGAAGCAGCCACCAUUGAAAGAGUGCGUAAUAGCUCACUGGUCAAGUGACUCUGCGCCGAAAAUGUAACGGGGCUAAACGAUCUACCGAAGCUGUGGAUGGCACCACUUAAGUGGUGCGAUGGUAGGGGAGCGUUCUAAGUGCAGCGAAGCUCGAGCGUAAGCGAGGGUGGAGCGCUUAGAAGUGAGAAUGCCGGUAUGAGUAGCGAAAAGAGGGGUGAGAAUCCCCUCCACCGUAAGCCUAAGGUUUCCUGAGGAAGGUUCGUCCGCUCAGGGUUAGUCGGGACCUAAGCUGAGGCCGAAAGGCGUAGGCGAUGGACAACAGGUUGAUAUUCCUGUACCACCAUGAUUCGUUUGUACGAUGGGGGGACGCAGGAGGGUAGAGAAUCGCGCGACUGGAAGUGCGCGUCCAAGCAGUGAGGCAGGGGAGAUAGGCAAAUCCGUUUCCCUUUUAAUGCUAGGCUGUGAUGGCGAGGGAAAUUUAUAGUACCGAAGUUCUUGAUCUCACACUGCCAAGAAAAGCCUCUAGGAGAAGAUUGGUGCCCGUACCGCAAACCGACACAGGUAGGCGAGGAGAGAAUCCUAAGGUGCUCGGGAAAACUCUCGUUAAGGAACUCGGCAAAAUGACCCCGUAACUUCGGGAGAAGGGGUGCCCCCUUAUGGGGGGCCGCAGUGAAUAGGCCCAGGCGACUGUUUAGCAAAAACACAGGUCUCUGCGAAGCCGCAAGGCGAAGUAUAGGGGCUGACGCCUGCCCGGUGCUGGAAGGUUAAGGGGAAAGGUUAGCGCAAGCGAAGCUUUGAACUGAAGCCCCAGUAAACGGCGGCCGUAACUAUAACGGUCCUAAGGUAGCGAAAUUCCUUGUCGGGUAAGUUCCGACCCGCACGAAAGGCGUAACGAUCUGGGCGCUGUCUCGACGAGAGACCCGGUGAAAUUGUAUUGCUAGUGAAGAUGCUAGCUACCCGCGACAAGACGGAAAGACCCCGUGGAGCUUUACUGUAGCCUGAUAUUGAAUCUAGAUACGACUUGUACAGGAUAGGUGGGAGUCGCUGAAGCCAGGACGCCAGUCUUGGUCGAGACAACGGUGGGAUACCACUCUGGUCGUAUCGGGGUUCUAACUCGCGCCCGUCAUCCGGGCGGAGGACCGUGUCAGGUGGACAGUUUGACUGGGGCGGUCGCCUCCUAAAAGGUAACGGAGGCGCUCCAAGGUUCCCUCAGCGCGGUUGGAAAUCGCGCCUAUAGAGUGCAAAGGCAUAAGGGAGCUUGACUGCGAGACCUACAAGUCGAGCAGGGACGAAAGUCGGACUUAGUGAUCCGGUGGUUCCGAGUGGAAGGGCCAUCGCUCAACGGAUAAAAGCUACCCCGGGGAUAACAGGCUUAUCUCCCCCAAGAGUCCACAUCGACGGGGAGGUUUGGCACCUCGAUGUCGGCUCAUCGCAUCCUGGGGCUGAAGUAGGUCCCAAGGGUUGGGCUGUUCGCCCAUUAAAGCGGUACGCGAGCUGGGUUCAGAACGUCGUGAGACAGUUCGGUCCCUAUCUGUCGUGGGCGUAGGAAAUUUGAGGAGAGCUGUCCUUAGUACGAGAGGACCGGGAUGGACAUACCGCUGGUGUACCAGUUGUCUCGCCAGAGGCAUCGCUGGGUAGCCAUGUAUGGACGGGAUAAGCGCUGAAAGCAUCUAAGCGCGAAGCCCCCUCCAAGAUGAGAUUUCCCACUGACUUAGUCAGGUAAGACCCCUUGUAGACGACGAGGUUGAUCGGUCUGAGGUGUACGCACAGCAAUGUGUUCAGCUGACAGAUACGAAUCGGUCGAGGGCUUAUCCU
rnacentral:rRNA from 1 species